GGAGGAGUGGCAGAGCGGUUGAAUGCACCGGUCUUGAAAACCGGCGAGGGUGCAAGUCCUCCGUGGGUUCGAAUCCCACCUCCUCCGCCA
rnacentral:tRNA from 1 species